CAACUAAGUCGUCAAUUUUAUCCCUAAACCUUCUUUCACUGCUAAAUCUCUUCAAAUGGAAAAUCAAAAUUUCGGGGCAUCUCCAAAUUUCCAUUUGUUUACUAGCCUGUCGAAAUUCUUUGCAUGUAGGACAGUACCAAGGAUCUUCUUCACCCAGUUGCUCCGUUUUUUCGAACUCAUCUAAACAAUCAUUCAAAGUAAUGGUACGAGAAUCUUCAGAAUCAUCCUUUUUGUCCGACAAUAUUGUUUUUGAUUCUAGCCACAAUGAACGUCCCAUUUGAGGAGAAGAAGGUGCCACACUAAAUACAAAUUGAUAGGAUUUUUCAGGCCACUCACACACCAGCAAGUCACCCUGAAUAAGCAAACGAUCAUUUUCCUUUGCGGUCAACUUGGUGUUUUCGUUACUCUUCGAAGGCUCAGGAUAUGAACCGGGUGCAACGUCUUUGAACUCACUGUCAUCUUCUUCCUCAAUUGAAUGAGCAUCUAAAGGAUCGACCGUCGAUUCUAAAUCCUUUUUAUCCCGUUCGGUUAACAAAGGCAAGUUAGAAACACUCAUGUUCCAACCGGUAGGGAUUUUUUCAAACCGAUCAUGGAAAACUCUCAUUUCAAACAAUGGUGUCUGACUAUGAUCCAUAUCAACAUCCAACGGACCUUUUUGCACUUGUUCAUCUUCGUGGCCAAGUUCCAAAGACUCCAACGAGUCAAUAUUUUUUAAGUUUUUUAAAGUUGUAAAUUGCUGAUAUUUAAGUUUGAGCUUUUCACUUAUAAAGGAAGCAUCAGUAACUUCAUUGUCUGACAAUUGCAGGACAAAUGGGUGACCAAAAUCGCGUGAACUCAUAUAGGAGUUUGCCGAAUUUGUAGAAUCAUCAGAUAUAUGAUAGACAGGAACCAAAAUGUCAUCAGAUCCAUCUUCGUACGGUCUCUCUAACUCAUAAAGAUAAAUUUCAUCUUCCU